GUCUUUUUGUAAAUUAAUUUAAAGUYUAACCUGCCCAUUGAAAAAUUUUAAAGGCUGCGGUAUUUUAACCGUACAAAGGUAGCAUAAUCAAUAGUUUUUUAAUUGAAAACUAGAAUGAAUGGUUGAAUGAAAAAUUAACUUUUUUAUUUAAAAUAUUGAAUUUUACUUUUUAAUAAAAAGGUUAAAAUAAAUUUUAAAGACGAGAAGACCCUAUAGAGUUUUAUAAUUUAAAAAAUAUUUUUAAAAAAAAAUAUAAAAAAUUUUAUUAUAUGAAUUAUUUUAUUGGGGUGAUAAUAUAAUUAAAUUAACUUAUAUUUAUUAUUUAUAUUAAUAUAUAAUUAAUUGAUCCAAUAAUAUUGAUUAAAAAUUUAAAUUACCUUAGGGAUAACAGCGUAAUUUUUUUUUAAGUUCAUAUUAAUAAAAAAUUUUGCGACCUCGAUGUUGGAUUAAGAUUUAAUUUUAGGAGCAGUAAUUUAAAAUUUAAGUCUGUUCGACUUUUAAUUCUU
rnacentral:rRNA from 1 species